AGAGUUUGAUCCUGGCUCAGGAUGAACGCUAGCGGGAGGCUUAACACAUGCAAGUCGAGGGGCAGCAUUUACUUCGGUAAGAUGGCGACCGGCGAACGGGUGCGUAACGCGUAUGCAACCUACCUUAUACAAAAGGAUAGCCCAUGGAAACGUGGAUUAAUACUUUAUGGUACUAUAAGACUUCCUGGUUUAAUAGUUAAAACUUCGGUGGUAUAAGAUGGGCAUGCGUAUGAUUAGGUAGUUGGUGAGGUAAAGGCUCACCAAGCCGACGAUCAUUAGGGGUUCUGAGAGGAUUAUCCCCCACACUGGUACUGAGACACGGACCAGACUCCUACGGGAGGCAGCAGUGAGGAAUAUUGGUCAAUGGACGCAAGUCUGAACCAGCCAUCCCGCGUGCAGGAUGACGGCCCUAUGGGUUGUAAACUGCUUUUGUUUGCCAAGAAUGGUUACUACGUGUAGUAAUUUGACGGUAGCAAAUGAAUAAGACCGCUAACU
rnacentral:rRNA from 1 species